rnacentral:misc_RNA from 1 species
CGACGUUCAUCUGUCAAAAAACAAUAUGGCAAUGGCUCAUUGAUGAGCAAUAGAAUUUUAUAAAUAUUUUUGAAUGAUUAAAAGAUUUGUUGUGUAUUAAUCAAGUUCAGUUUUAAUGAAGUUUUGUGAUGAACGGAAUGUUACCUUCUUUUACACCACCGGUGGUUAAACGACUGUUAGGCUGGAAAAAAGGCACAGACGCCGAUGACAAAUGGUGUGAGAAAGCAGUGAAAAGUUUGGUGAAAAAAUUAAAAAAGUCAGGUGCUUUGGAGGAGUUAGAACGCGCUAUUUCUUCGCAAAAUCCCAAUACUAAGUGUGUAACUAUACCCAGGGUACGUCCCAAUGCUGAGAUAGGGAACCUGCAGCAACAGCGUAAGGGGUUACCUCAUGUUAUUUAUUGUCGUUUAUGGAGGUGGCCUGAACUUCAGUCACAUCAUGAGCUAAGGUCUUUGGAUCAUUGUGAAUAUGGUUAUGCUUUAAAAAAGGAGGAGGUUUGUGUUAAUCCAUACCAUUACACAAGAAUCGAGACCCCAGCACUACCUGCAAUUUUAGUACCUCGUCAUACAUUAGGUGAUGAAAAUAAUUUAUUUCCCCAUUCUCUUGAGGAUUUGAGCACUUCUGUUCCAGAGAAUACUUCUUUUCCCCACCACAAUACUAAUACGUUAGUAGGAUUGCACCUGCAGCACCCCACCACUUACAUGGAUACGGUAGGCAUAUGUCCCACUCCGACAAAUAUGGAAUCACCUCACAGUGUAGUUCCUCCGACAGAGACACCCCCUCCUGGAUAUAUGUCAGAAGAUGGAGAUCCUAUUGAUCCAAAUGACAACAUGAGUAUGUCAAGAAUCACCCCUAGUCCUCCAGUUGAUGCUCAACCAGUGCUUUACUGUGAACCAGCUUUCUGGUGCAGUAUCAGUUACUACGAACUGAAUACAAGGGUAGGAGAGACCUUUCAUGCAAGUCAACCUUCAAUAACUGUAGAUGGUUUCACAGAUCCCAGCAAUUCUGAAAGAUUUUGUUUGGGCUUGCUGUCAAACGUAAAUCGUAAUACAGUAGUAGAACAAACUAGACGGCAUAUAGGAAAGGGAGUAAGACUGUAUUAUAUAGGUGGAGAAGUGUUUGCUGAAUGUUUGAGUGAUUCCAGUAUUUUUGUACAAUCUCCAAAUUGUAAUCAAAGAUAUGGCUGGCAUCCUGCUACAGUUUGUAAAAUACCACCAGGAUGCAAUUUAAAAAUUUUCAAUAAUCAGGAAUUUGCGGCGUUGUUAUCACAAUCAGUUAGUCAGGGAUUUGAAGCAGUUUAUCAGUUGACAAGAAUGUGUACGAUAAGAAUGUCCUUUGUCAAAGGAUGGGGAGCAGAGUAUAGGAGACAGACUGUAACGUCAACACCUUGUUGGAUAGAGCUACACUUGAACGGACCGCUACAGUGGUUAGAUCGAGUACUCACUCAAAUGGGAUCACCCAGGUUACCAUGUAGUUCGAUGUCGUAAUUGUUUAAGUUUUGCUCUGUCGGUUGUCUGACAGAAACUGUGAAUCGAUUUUAAAGUUGUGAGAGUUGAGUGUUUUUUCCUAUUGUAAGUAAUAAUAUUAGGAGCUACUGUUUUAAAAAUAGAAGACUAUCUCUGUGUUUUGGUAGUUUUAAAUUAUGGCUACUGUAUUAUUUGUGUUUCGAUAUCUUUGAUAAAAGUGUCAUUGGCAUAUGUUAAAUAAUUUGAUUAUUUAUCGCCAUAACAAAGGUACGUUUACAAUAUGGAAAAAAUGUUUUAUUAUAUUUUACUGAUAAAAUUGCAAUAAUUUUCAUAACUGAUAAAAAUAAGAUUUUAAUAAAGGUUUGUUAUAUUUAUCAAAUUAAUAACAUACACUGCCAGUUAAUUAUUAUCAAUCCGUUAAUCUUUUCACUCUGGAAAGAUGCAAAUAAGUUUUAUAAUGGGGAAAAAGUAUAUCACUUGCGAUCAACAAUGCUCUGCAUCAGAUCCAUCAAGUAUAAUAAAACUAUUAAUUUUUAGAGAACAAUAAAAUGCUUUAAAAUGAAUGACAGUUAAUAUUUCAUUCUGUUUCAUAGACGACCAUCACCCUCUUACGUACGAUUCCCCCUUAUGGGAUCUUCAGAGAGGCUUAUGAUCUGCUUUGAAUCAAGAUCUUUUGAUUUGAUCAUAACUGAUAACUAAUAGACUAAGAGCCGCUAUAGGUGAAAUUUCUUAAUCAUUUUAGGCACGAUGGGACCCUAUAACUUAAAUAGUAGAACCUAAAAGAAAACGUUUGAACAGUGUGCCGUCACUUUUUAGUGGCACAUGCGUCGACAGUGGCGCAUCAAACUUUCCACUUAUGGACGGGAUAAAUAAAUUAAAAGUUACCCUCCCUUACUAACAGAAUUAUUUUUUUUAUUUUUUAAGUUUUAUGUGAUUAACACAUAGGAUUCAGCGUAAUUUUAACCCACCACCCUCUUCCCCCUGCCCCCACCAUCAAAAACUUCAUUUUUCGUUUUUAUUUUUUUUAUUUUUUUGGUGGGAUGCAAUCAGUUUUAAAAUUACAAAAAAUUCACACGCAUAGCUGAGGCUUUUAUAAAACAUCCCUAUUUUUAUAGACCCAUAGGUAAAGUGUACAUAACCUCAAAAAAUUAAAAGAAUUUUUUUUUCAAAAAUGCGUAUAACUUUUUUUGAGGAAUAGCUGCAGGUCGAAUUUUUUCUUAAUAUUGUGUGUUUUCUCAAACACUAUAUUUUAUUUUUUUUUUCAGAUUUUUCCGUAAGGCUCCCCACCUUCAAAAAUCCGAAAAACUAUUUUUUGGGGGUGUUGGGGGAUUUUCCCUAUUUUAUAGACUUCAUAAUAUAUUAAAUCAAUUUUGUUUUUAUAGGUUAUAUGUAACUUGAAGUAACUGAGUCCUUUAGAAUAUUUAAAAGUCAGAAAACACGUUCAAACCCCCCCAAAAACCCCUUAAAAACAGUUUUUUGGAUUUUUGAAGAUGACCAGCGUUACACAAAAAUCUAAAAAAAAUUAGAAAUAUAGUGUUUGAUAAAAUACACCAGACUAAGAAAAAAUUAGAUCUGCAGCUAUCCCCAAAAAAAAGUUAUAUACUUUUUUCCAAAAAAAAAUUUUUUUCAUUUUUUGAGGUUAUGUACACUCAACCUACAGGUCUAUAAAAAAUAGACGUGUUUUAUAAAAGCCUUAACUAUGCGUGUGAAUUUUUUGAAAUUUUAAAAUUGAUUGCAUUUCACAAAAAAAAAAUAAAAUCGAAAAAUAAAGUUUUUGAUGGUGGGGGCAGGGAGAAGGGGGUGGUGGGUUAAAAUUACGAUGAAUCUUAUAUCUUAAUCACAUAGAAUUUAAAAAAAUGAAAAAAAUUAAAUUCUGGUAAUGAGGGAGGGUAUUUUUUAAUUUAUGUGUCCCGUCCAUAAGUGGAAAGUUUGAUGCGCCACUGUAGACGCAUGUGCCACUAAAAAGUGACGGCACAGUGCUCAAACGUUUUCUUUUAGGUUCUACUAUUUAAGUUAUAGGGUCCCGUUGUGCCUAAAAUGAUUAAAAAAUUUCACCUAUACGUUGUGAGCUCGUACGUAGAGGGGAUAUUUACAAAUUCGCGAGCGCCAGUAGUGGCAAGUAUGUAAACGUUUACCGGAAAUUUGAUAUAAAUGUCAAAGUGAUUAAUUUAAAAUUAAAAUUAAAAACAUUAAUUAUAAAAAAUAUUAGUUGGUCAAAGCUGUGGUAUAUAUUUUUACCUUAAAUAUGCUUACGUUUUAAAUGCUGAAUUUAAGUUUUUUUAAUGUUCCGUAAUAUGUAAUUAUAAAUUAAUCUGCGCCAUCUACACGAUAAUUGUGAAAUUAUCCGAAGUAAGAAAUUCAUAUUUUAUCAAUAGAACGUCAAAAUGAUUAGCAAAAUCUUAAAAAAAUCGAUUACAAUUUAAUUACUUUUUUGCGUUGUAAAUAUUAAGCGAUAACAAUUAAAUAAUAAAUUUAAAAAUUACCGGUGAAAGUUGAAUUAGUAAUCCGCCAGGAGCGACACCAGCGAAGCUCAGGGCGAAUAGCGGCUCUUAGGGCCGGUUGUUCGAACGCUAAUCAACACUGAUCACUAUCAAAUAUUUAAUUACUGUCACAACUGUCAAUGUCAACUUUGGUUGGGUUGCUGAAAACAUAAUUUAUUAUAAUUAUGAGAUUAGUUAAUCAAUUAACAUAACAAUUAUUAACAUAAUUGAUUAAUUAAUUUCAUAAUUGUAAUCAAUAACAUUGUUUUCAGCAACCCAAUCAAAGUUGACAUUGACAGUUGUGAAAGUAAUUAAAUAUUUGAUAAUGAUCAUUUUUGAUUAGCGUUCGAACAACCGGCCCUUAGUCUAUAACUUUAUUUUAUUUUUCACUCGAAAUAAAUAUUUUUAUCCUCUAUAUUUGAAGCAAUGAUUUAAUUUUUUUAUAUUCGAUUAGAGAUUUCCAGAUGUGGUAGUGACAUUUUAGUGGAGCACUAUAUUUACUGAGACGUCAAAAAAAAUCGUAAUUAGAGUAGGCUAUGGAAUUUACAUUUAAAUGACAAUUCAAUGUUGAAUUAACAAUUCAACAAUUUUAUGAGCAAAUGUUUCUUAAAAACCUAUGUUUUGUUGAUAAUCUAUUAUACACUGCGAGUCAGAGAAAACGGGCACCCCAAAAAAUGCUCAUUUUUGAUGUCUCGUAUCUCCUAAACCUGUUGUGCGAUUUAAGUAAUUUUUUUAAUAUGUACCAUUUUUUAGCAAUAUCGCUGUAAUAAUAUUGUUGCUGAAUAGGUAAAUAUUCAUUGUAUACCGGGUGUACGAAUCAAACUGUGUUUUUUUCUUAAAGUUCGCAACACCCUGUGGAAUAUUCUAGCAUUUAUAAAAUACUGAAAUUAAAACCCAACUAUAGCCUCAGGUUUUCUUAACAUUCUGUUUUUGAUUCAUUCUUUUAUGUUUGAUAAUACAAAAGUUAGGUACUUUAACAACUAGUCAACUAGCCAUGUUCUUCAUCAGUACAAGUUGUUUCUAAAUAAGUGCGACAAACUUUAAGAGGUAAUUCUUCAUGAAAAAAUAAUGUCCAUCUGUUUUAUAAACAUAUAUCCGCAAAUGCUUCGUUUCCGCGAUAUGGGAUGUUGCAUGGUUUCUUACAAACUGACGAUUUAUUUAUUGCCCGAAAACCGGUUGAGAUAUGCAAAUGAAAUGUGCUGGGCUUUAAGAGACAGUUAUUGCGCAUUUUUUGACAUGCAAUUAAGAAUUUUAUAAUCAAGCCAAUGGUGAAUAUAAAAUUAAUAAUUGUAUAUCAAAAAAUGUGCAAUAGCUACGUCUCAAAAUCCACCAAAUUUCAUUUACAUAUCUCAACCGAAAGCAAUAAAUAAAUCGUCAAUUUGUAAGAAAAAAUUCAACAUUCCGUAUCUCGGAAACGAAGCGUGUGCGGACAUAUAAUUAUAAAGCAAACUGUCAUUAUUUUUUACUGCAGAAUUACCCCUUAAAGUUUGUCGCACUUAUUUAGAAACACCCUGUACUGAUGAAGAACAUGGCUAGUUGUUAAAGUACCUAACUUUUGUAUUAUCCAACAUAGGCGAAUGAAUCAAAAAACAGAAUGUUAAGACACUAUAAUCGGAACUAUUACCUGAGGCUAUAGUUGCGCUUUAAUUUCAGUAUUUUAUAAAUGCUAGAAGAUUCCACAGGACAGGGUGUUGCGAACUUUCAAAAAAAAAAACAGUUUGAUUCGUACACCCAGUAUACAAUGAAAAUUUAUCUGUUUAGCAACAGAACUAUUACAGCGAUAUUGCUAAAGAAUAAGGCUAUAACAUAUUAAAAAAAUUACUUAAAUCGGACGACAGGUUCAGGAUAUACAAGACAUAAAAAAUGAUCCAUUUUUUGGGGUACCCAUUUUCUCUUACGCGCAGUAUAUUUACAAAUUAUAGUAUUAAAAAUAAAAUUUCUAUAUUUUUCCAUGUAGAGUACAGUAUAUAAUUAAUUGAUUAUUAAAUUAUUUGGCAUAUGUACCAUUAACGGAGGAUGAUUUAAUACACAACUUAUUUACAUAGUUGUAGGGUUGUUGGUAUGAUGUAAAUGAGAAAUUUAGAGAAAUCUUUACAGUUUUGUAUAUAUUAUAUUACAUACAUUUUGUCUGAUCUUUUUAUCUUAACCUUUUAAAUACCAGAGGUAUUCAAACAAAAAUUGCAUUUUAAAAUUAGUUACAAUCUUAGAGGGUAUUUCACAACGGGGUAUUUUAUUUUAAUUUUGAAAUCUGCCUCGGUUCUUUAUCACAGAAAUGUAAAGUGGCAAAGUGUUUUACUGGGUCUUUAAAAAGUUAUUACCAAUGAAAAUCGUAUCAAAAUCUUUCUAUAAAUCUAAAAAAACCAUCUAAAAAAACUAAUAACUUUAAACAUAGGAAAUGCUUCAUAAAAUUGAAGUAUGGUAAUAGUACUUUUCGAUAGUAAUAUAAAAUAUAAUAUGGUGAUCCAUUUAAAAAUUAGCAAGAAAAUAUUAUAUACUGAAUUCACUCUACCGAGAUUCACUUUGACACAUUCGGAAUAGGAAACAUACAACACAAAAAUUCCUACCUCACACUAUUAACUGCUAAAAUUAACUUAAUCUUUCAUUAAAAAAGAAGAAUUAUUAGCAAUAGUGGGAGUGUCUACUAAUCUCAUAAAAUUUUGUGGAGUUUAUUUCUACAAAAUAUUUUUAUUUUGUACAAUAAAUAAUUUUCUCAUUUGAUAUCAAUACAUUAUAAUGGUGUAAAUAAAUAAUUAUUGAUUGGCGUAAGGAUUAUGUUAUUUUUAUGUCUGUUUACUAUUAAUAAUAUUGGCUAUGAGCAGGUGCGUUGGUUGUGUAGUAAUUUCCAGUUACUUCUGACAACUGAACUUCCCAAAAAAGAAAUUACUAACGUCAGUGUCAAAGUGAAUCUCGAUAGAACGAAUUUAGAUAUUUGCGUUUUGACUUACCCGGGUAGAUAUAGUGACAUGCCAUACCCGUUCCAGUUGUGUUGAAUCAGGUUCUGAGGUUCUUCAAUUAGGAUGGUCUUCUUCCUGGACCCCCGUUUUCCAAAUAUUGUUCAUUGCAGGACGACUUAUAGGAGGGCAUAUCUGGAUUCAUUUCGCAUGUGUCCGAAAUAUUAUAACUUUCGGGGUUUGAUGGUCGUCAGUACCUCUUGAUUCUUUUUCAUUCUUCUCAGGACCUCCUCUUUUGUGACUCGAUCAGUCCACGGGAUUUUAAACAUUAUCCGGUAUAGCCACGUCUCAGAUGCUUCCAAUUUUCUGCACAUAUCGUUCAAGGUCCACUAUUCAACACCAUAAAAAAGGACAGAACACGUAGCAUCGCACCAUUCUCACUUUUGUACUACGAGAGAGGUUGUGGCUCUUAUAACAUAAUAGGUUGUAGUAAUGUGGAGGUGAACCUCGCUAGGGCUAGGAAUACACUAAGUACUCAUAAUAUGUUUAUUUGAUCACUGUUAAAUAUAUCAGUAACUAGUUGGUGGACGAAAGUCUAAAUUUUAACUACAUUGAUGGUUUAAUAAUGAAUGAUGAAUAAUGACUGAUCUCUUUCUUUACUUGCUACGUAUCUAUAAUCAAUCCCAAUUGUUUUUUAUGAUUCCAUGCCUGACUGUGACCAUGAAAUACUAACAGUACCAAAUUGCUGACUCCGUUGUUUUCCAAAACGAGUGAUCUACAUUGAAGAAGCAAUGUCACCUACUUUUACGAAAUCAAAACAAUGCAUGCAACUAAUAUUUGUUUAAUCCUUUAAACUUUAAACAUUAAAUCGAUAUAGGUUACUCUUAUUUUUGAAUGAUAAUAUAAAUCCUGUACACUCUUAAGAAGGCUCCCAUCCAUUGUUAUCCCGUUCAUCAUUUAUUAUUGUGCCGAGGUAGUUGCAAUGCUUCGCUCUUUCUACAGGGGUUUGGUUGACAUACAGUUGAUCUUGUUAUCUUUUUCUUUCUAAUGACCAUAAGCUUUGUUUUCUUUACUUUUACAUAUCUUCUUCUUGUACGGCACUACAGCCCAAAUUGAGCCUUGGCCUCCUUUAUUUUUUGCCUCAACCCUUGCUUGUCUGUGGCUGCUUUUCUCCAUACAAUGACUCCUAAAAGGACUUGUGCGUCGCUGUUUACUGUGUCUUCCCGGCGUUUUCUUGGCUAUCCAACCGGUCUCUUUCCCUACAUUCUAGCAUUCAGUUCUCUUUUUGGUAGCCUAUCCUCUCCCAUUCUUAUCACAUGUCCGGCCCAUUGCAAUCUUUGUAUUCUAAUGAAGUCUGACAGGGGUGCUUCCUUAUAAAGUUGAUAAAGUUCGUUGUUGUAUCGACUUCAGAAGAUUCCGUUUUCCCUUACAGGUCCUAGUAUUCUCCUCAGUACUUUCCUUUCUAAUGUGUCGAGUUUGUUUUUGGAUGUUUCUUUCAGGACCCAGGCUUUUCUGCCAUAGCAUGUUAUUGGUCGAAUUAAAGUUUUAUAGAUUCUCAUCUUUGUAUUUCGGUGGACACUUUUAGACCGAAAUAUAUGGGAGAGGGCAAAAUAAGCUCUGUUUGCCUGCGUUAUUCUCUUCCGUAUUUCUCCGUCUUCUGAUCCGUCGGCAUAUAUUUCUACUCCCAGGUAUGUAAACUUUCCAACCGUUUCAAUGUCAUCUUCAUGUAUUACAUACAACUUUUACAUAUAUUGAGUCCAUAAUAUUGUCUGUAAUACAUAUGACACAAUACUCGUGUAGAUUUUUUCUCUUUUUACUGACUCCUAAAUCACAAAACCAUCCAAAAGUAGAGUUCACUAGCGCAGGUGUAUACUUUUCAACGACGGUAUGCAAAACUAACAGUAAUUUUGAUGUCGACUACUAAUUGGACUAUGUGAUAUUUUAUUUUAAUCUCAUUUUUCCAUUUCUUUGCAUAUUUAUUUUGAAUUGGAGAAGAUUAUAAAGAUUUCUGGUACACACGUUGUAAAAAAUAUCAAUUCUUUCGAUAAAGUACGAUUUUUAUGCCUUCAAAUACAACAAUCUUACAAAAAAACAUUUUUUUUUCGAUGGAAAUGAAAUAUUUUUGAAGGUUAUGUGGAUCAAUAUACAUAAAUAUAAUACUGGCCUAGCCAACUUAGCCGUUGUAUGAAACAAUGUAAAUAGACAUUAUGUCUACGAUAAUUUUGUAUUCUUUUUUGUUAUCUUAUUUAAAAUUGAUAUUUUAUUUGUUACAAGUUAUUAAUAUUGUCAGUGACAAUACUCUGAACGUUGCAAAAUAAUAUUUAUAUACAGGGUGCUUCGAAAAUAGGUAACAGCGUUUCUAAGAUAGGUAAAAAACUGAAAAAUAAUUGGGAUUUACUUAGUAGAAAAAUUUUGUAACGGCAUCCGUUUUCAAAAUACAGGGCGUUAAAAAAAAUUAACACAUUUUUUACGAUUUUGCUGAAACUACUGGCAACAUUGUACCUAAUUAAAUUUGGUGGGUUGUAAGAGAUAGUUAUUGUCCAUUUUUUUAUAUACAGUUAAGAAUGUUAUAUUCAUCAUUGACGCGCAUACGGGUAAUGUUCUGAAUUUUAUAAAGAAAAACAUAGUACGCCACUGAGAUAUGUCAAAUUAAAAAUCAUUUUUGAAUUCCUCGUUCAAUUUGUGUCAAAAAAUCUAGCUUCCCAUUUUUUCUUACGACGCGCCUAUUUUAUGCAAAAAAAUAAAACAUCUUAACACGUACAAAAUAUUCGAAGUUUCUAUACAUUCAUAUAGAAACUUAAUUAAUAAACAAGAAUUGAACGAAGAAUUCAAAAAUUAUUAUUUAAUUAGAAUAUCUCAGUGGCGUAUUAUUUUUUUUAUAAAAUUCAGAUCAUUACUCGUAUAUGCGACAAUGAUGAAUAUAAAAUUCUUAACUGUACGUCAGAAAAUGGACAAUAACUACCCCUUAAAACCCACCAAAUUGCAUUAGAAUGUUACCAGUAGUUUCGGCAAAAUCGUAAAAUAUAUGUAAAUUUUUUUUCUUCGACGCUCUGUAUCUUGAAAACAGAUAGCGUUAGAAAAAGUUUUUUUACUAAUCAAACCCCAAUUAUUUUUUAGUUGUUUUACUAUCCAAGAGAUGGUGUUAGCUUUUUUGAAACACCCUGUAGAAGAUACAAGUUGGUUCAUUAAUAUGUUUAGUAGUAAGUAAAUUUUUUAUGUGCCUUUUAGUGUCUCUUGAUGAAAUCAAGAUUUUAAGUAAAACUAAAAUAUAUUUACUAAUAUGAUAAUUUUAAUGUCGAUAUUUUUCAUUAAAUUUCUUGUCUUGGGUAGAGACCGAUGUUUAUUAUUAAGCAAUCAUUUCACUUCUUGGAACACUUUUGGAAAAUAGAUUUUAUUAGUUUUGAACAAUCAUAAAUUAGUUACAGGCGAAAAUAUGUGCUCAAAAAGCAAAAAUUUUCGAAUUGUUUUUUCAGAUUUUGUUAAAUAAAAAAUUUGUGACUGGACAAAACACUUAAAAACGAGACUUUCUUCUGCUUGCUUAUUAGUAGUCACUUCUCUCUACUCUUCUCUGUCAUGCAGUUUAACAGUGUUUGUAAGUCUUCUGGUGUGUUCGUUAGACAUAUAUUAUCAUCUAGGUAUCAGUUAACAGUCAUACCUUGUUAUCUUUCAUAUAUACUACCGUCCUCAAUUAAAACGCGGUAUCUGCAAAAAAAAUUGAAAAUCGAGUGUUUGCUAUAUGUGGUUUCCUUGUGACCUUAUUUAUGUUUCUGCAAUGUCUGAAAGCCGUAUCAUUUUAUUUACUACCAAAAUAAACAAAUUGGAAUAUGCCGUAUGUGCUAAAUUUCAAUAGUUGCUUAAUUAGAAUGCGUUAUCUACAGAGUACUCAACUAAAAGGCGGUAUGUGCUAGCGAGUAUCAUGUACUUGCCGCGUUUUAAUUGAGCACAGCGCAUAUACCGAGUUUUUAUCAAGACUCGUGUUGCGACCUCGUAUUUUGAACAUUUAUGACAUGUAGGUAUUUUGCGUAAAUAAUAAACAAUUAUAAGCUAUUUAUUUUUCUUUUUUGGUAACUACUCUUCCUGAUACGGCACUAUGUCUAAUCCAGUAAUAUAUCCGCUACUCAAUUAAAACGCGGUAUAUGACUUUUUAUUUACAGCUGUGAUAAAAACAUGAUUUUUUUAAGAAUAUAUUUUUAAAUAAUGUUCAACUAUCAUUAGAACAUGUUUUGCGUUAAAAAGUUGUCAAAACAUAUAGAUUCCUGAGAAAAAACUUUGAGAGCCGAUUUCUCGGUUUUAAGUUGGUUGCACUUACCGCGUUUUAUUUGAGGACGGCAGUAUAAUAGUUGCUGGAAGAUAUUUAAUAUCUCAUCUGAUAUAUUUUUUCCUACUGUUCCUGAUGACUGCAUCGAAAGUCUACUUGUAAUCUAUAGACAACAGGUGAGACAAGAGUCUCAUUGUCUCACCUGUACCCAUUCCAUUUUUUUUUAAAUCAAACUAUAUUGUCCAUGUUCUCUUCAUAAUUUCUGUAAAUACGGUUGUGAAUGGUUUUCAAAAAUAUUUUUGACUUAUAAGACUGAUUGUCGCUACAAUAUUUUGCAUUUACCUCUUAAGUCGUGUCACAAAGGUAGAAACUGAUCAGUCUUUAUAAAUUUUGACCUUCGGUAGAUUAGUGUUUGUCCUUCUAGAAGUAGUUUUAACAGUUCGAAAUAUAUUUCGUCUGUUCCUUUGUAUUUAUUCAGGAUAAUUUUCCCUUAAUAAUGAUAGUUGAUCCAUUAAUAAUCCAGUAGGCUUUACUUUUAUAGAAUCUGGUAGCAUCUUUCACUUCUUUAUACAUGUUGAAUAGAUGAGGUCUUUCUUCUAGAUUCUAGAUGUCACUGUCUUGAGUUAAUUUUUAAAAUAGCCACAACGUAAAAUCCUUUGAAUGAUAUAUUAUGGCCCUUGCAGAGACAGCGUGACAAACGGAAGGAGGCGCAGAUACAAUAACGAGUUAGAGUCUCUAUUGGGAAAGAAAAAUCUAGUCAGAUGUAUAAAGGCCAAUAGACUCAGAUGGGCAGGGCAUGUGAUACGCAGUAACGAUAAUCGCCUUAUGAACAAUGUGUUCUGGAAAAGGCUAGAUGGAAGGUCUGUAUGACCGCCUAGAAAAAGGUGGAAAGGUGCAGUCAAAGAAGAUCUGGAGAAAAUGGGAGGGAGACAAUGGGAAUUAGUGGCACGGGACCGACAAACAUGGAAGGCAACAGUAAACGCGGCAAAAACUCACGAAGAGUUGUAACGCCAUUGAUGAUGACAAUCCGGUAAUGGCAUAAACAUGAGUUUGUAGUUUUUAUCAUUUUUUGGCCUCUCGAGUUUCCCCACGAAUAGUUUUAAGUCUAUACUCCAGCUCUAGAGAACUUCUAAACAACUAAUGAUUCGGCGAUGAUAUAGUCAUACUAGAAGUAUUUAAGAAUGGCUAGAGAGAUGGUACAGGAACUCGUUGUGGCUACAGAAAAUGUGGGUUUAAAUAUAAACAUCUCAGAAACAAAAAUAAUGACAAAGUUACCCACCCAGAACAUCAGUAUUGGUGUGCAAGAAAUAGAACUCAUAGAUAAAUAUAACUACCUAGGAUAUGAAAUUGUGAUUGGCAAGGAUAAUCAGACCCAUUAACUGAAUAGAAGAAUCUUGGGUGGGCAGUAUAUGGAAAAGUGAGCUGCCCACAGGCCUGAAGAGAAAAGUAUUUGAGCAAUGUACCCUCCCAGUUUUGACAUAUGGAGCAGAAACACUUACCUUAACAAAGACCUCGGCUACUAAACUGAGAGUCACCCAGAGAAGAAUGGAACUAUCCAUGUUAGGAAUAAUUCUGCGAGAUAAAAUAAAAAACAAAAAGAUUAGGAGAAGGAGCAAGGUGACUGACGUUAUCGAAAGGAUAGUCAGUAAAUGGAGUUGAACAGUAAACCUAGCUAGAAUGACAGAUGGGCGAUGGACAAAGAGGAUAUUGGAAUGAAGACCAACGAAAGAUUUUGUCAGUUUAAUAAUUAUUCUAUCAAUAUGUAUUCGCCGUGUGCAAGUUCUUGGAGGGGAUACGAGAAACUAUAGUGCGCGAAUUGCGGAGAAAUCUUGCAACUUUCUUAAAUAAUUCAUAGUGUCAAUUGAAAUUGUCAAAUUGACGUAUAUUUCAUAUCUACUGUCAAUGAAGAAGAAAAAUUAUGUUGCUCCACAAUAUUUAUAUGAUAUGCAAUUAUAUAAUGAAAGUAAAUUUAAUCAAUUGUAUCCCAGGCAACCAAACGACAUUUUUAUAACGUAGAUAACACGCCAUAAAAAUGACCAAUUGACGUGUUUUUAUGACGUAGUACUGACAUUGAAAAUCACGUGUAUUUGUCUCAUUGAUUUGACGUCAUAAUUGUGACGAUUUUAAAACGUAAUCGUAUCUACGUUAUUUUCACGUCGAGAUUGUGACGAUUUUCAAACGUCAAAAAGAUGACGACCUUUAUACGUCGGUAAAAUCACGUCUUUAUUACUUUCAAAAAGUGACCUCUUUCAGAUGUUUCAAAAUAGUAUAAAAAAUAGGUAACAUGAAACCUAUAGGCCUAAGUCCCAUAUGUGUCGAAGAUAUACUACCACUUGUUUAAGAUCGCUUGUGCGCUAGAAGCAACAUUGAUUCUGCAUGAUUGUACCAGCCCUCACAUAGAAUUUUCACUAGUUAUAUAUACCUACUUACUGUGUUAAAACUAAAACAACAUAUACCUAUAUGAAACAUGAAACUAAUAAAUAAUUUAUUAACAAAUUAUCCAGCGUACUCAAUAUCUUAAUUUAACGCUGUCUUAAUAUCUUCAUUUAACGCUUAAUUAAAAACAAAUAAACAUAACCUCAAAUAGUUCUCAAGAAGAAUUACUGCAUUAAACUAACUCACUGAGCAAAAACACAUAAAAAUCUCUUAAUUAAUACGUUUAUUCAACUAAAUAUCUAAAUGAAAAGUCUUAUUUUAUCACACAAAACACAAACCGCGUAAACACUAAAUGAGAAAUUUCUUAUGAACAUUUAGCGUUAUACCUAAACGAAAUUGUAUUGAGUCAAUACAAACAAGCAAGCUCCUCCCAAUUUUGUGACGUCACACUUAGGCUAUCUGAAAUUAAAACGUUUUUUAAACGUAAUUUUAACGUCAUUAAUCUUACUUAUUUAAAAUCACCUACAAAAGACGUCUAUAUGACGUAAUGUUCAAACACGUGUUAUAUUCAACCAAAAACUGACGUUUCCUCAACGUUAUAUGACGUCACUUGGUUGCCUGGGAUUUGGCUUGUAGUACUGCAUUUUAAUAAUUAAUUUUAUUUACUACAUACAAUUACCUUUUAAUAACAUAACCUUAAUAUUACUUUUUCUUUUUAUAAUUUUUUUUGGGCUAUGGCAUUGACAAUAAUUGUCCAGUAACCAGGACCAAUAUAAUUAAAAGUGCGAAAAAUGUUGCCGUGCUAUGAAACCAGGUGCCGCUUUUCCGAACUUGCACGGUCCCAAUAGCCUUAUGGCAUCCAAACCAGGACUUUUAUUUAUAAUAUUUAUAUUACAUAAACGAACUGACGAAGAAACUGUAGUAUAUGAAAAUAAAGAGCUACAUCGCCGCUGAUAGAAAAGAGCGUCUCCCUAUCCUGGUCCGUCAAAAACGAUUGCGCAUCACUAGCUCAGAGAUAAAGUGGAUUGGAGCGGGUCGAUCCCAAUUCCUCAACUGUCAUCAACACGCCUAACUUCACGCGCAACUUUGAUACGAGAAUUAUAAAAAAAUAUGCAUUGAAAUCCACAUCCCGUAAUUUUUUGAGCAUUAUAAAGUGAGUACAAAGACAUACAUAAUUUUUUUUUAAUUUUAUCUCCAAUUUACCUUGUACUUCUCGUUGAUUCUUACCGAUAAGGUAGAGUGGUAACACUGGAACAGGGGAAGUUUUAAUUGUGGAACAGGUUAACAAUUUUGAACGGUCAGACCACGAAAACGGCACAUGUAUUUUGUCCGACAGAACAGACUUAAACUCUCAUGCAAAAAUCAGACUGCUAUUUAUCACCAAAUGGGCGUUUUAAUGAGUGGAACAUAUAGAAUAUGUCAAAUGACAGGUGAUAAAUAGCAGUCUGAUUUUUGCACGAGAGUUUAAUCUCUGUCCGGAGAGUUUAAGUCUGUUCUGUCGGACAAAAUAAAUGUGCCAUUUUCGUGGUCUGACCGUUCCAAAUUUUUAACCUGUUCCACAAUUAAAACUGCCCUUGUUACAGUAUUCCAUUUAUCAAAGUUUAUCCGACUAGACACCCUUAAGCUAUUAACAAAUUUUCAGCUUGCUAUUAAUCAACUUUUUUUUCAUAUGUGCGAUCCAGACCUAUAUUAUGUGUUUCCAAGACUUGGAUUGACUUUUUCAAUUUUAAUAAUUAUUUUAAUUUAGUGAUAAUACGGUUAUACUAAAGACAUAUAGCAUUUGUUUUAAAAUAAAUUUUAUAUGAUGAACCAACCUGUAUUCUAUAUUGUCUAAUAUUUUGUUCAGUUUUGGAUGUUAACAUGUGUGAUAUGAUGUUGCACUUUUUUGUAAAUGUUUUGCAGUUUUCUUUUAAGUGCAUUUUUUGUAUUGUAAGCUUACGAGUUUAUUAAUCAGUUCCACGUUGAACUCUUCUUUGUACUAUAUUAAAAUUAGUUUUAAUUAUUAUUAUUAUUGUAUAGAUAUAGUUUUUAUUGAGGCAACUACCAAAUUGAAUGUAUUUCACUUUCCAAAAAUAUAUAGCCGUUAAUUUA